rnacentral:lncRNA from 1 species
ACAGCUGCAGAGGGACCUCAGAUUUAAAACCAAAACAAGCGCACAGCACAGAUGCCUCAGAGGUUGAUGCUCCGGGGUCUGAACCGUGAGGCCUUGUACCGUCCUGUCUCCAAGGCCACUUCCAAGCACACUCAGCUGCAGAAAGGGAGGUGUCCUCACACGCAGGACACAAGAGCGAGGCUUCUCCAGGCCACGGUUGUUUAACAAUAAAGCACUUGGCCGCUUCUCCAAGACUUCCGGUGGCUCAAUUCAAGCCCAUGAAUGCAAACAUAUC